CGAAAGCCAGGGGAGCGAAAGGGAUUAGAUACCCCUGUAGUCCUGGCCGUAAACGAUGAACACUAGGUGUCGGGGGAAUCGACCCCUCCGGUGUCGUAGCCAACGCGUUAAGUGUUCCGCCUGGGGAGUACGCACGCAAGUGUGAAACUCAAAGGAAUUGACGGGGGCCCGCACAAGCGGUGGAGUAUGUGGUUUAAUUCGAUGCAACGCGAAGAACCUUACCAGGGUUUGACAUCCUGCGAAUCCCUUGGAAACGAGGGAGUGCCUUCGGGAGCGCAGAGACAGGUGGUGCAUGGCUGUCGUCAGCUCGUGUCGUGAGAUGUUGGGUUAAGUCCCGCAACGAGCGCAACCCACGUCGUUAGUUGCCAGCAUUCAGUUGGGCACUCUAGCGAGACCGCCGGUGAUAAACCGGAGGAAGGUGUGGAUGACGUCAAGUCAUCAUGCCCCUUACAUCCUGGGCUACACACGUACUACAAUGCUACGGACAAAGGGCAGCAAGCUCGCGAGAGUUAGCAAAUCCCAUAAACCGUGGCUCAGUUCAGAUCGUAGGCUGCAACUCGCCUACGUGAAGGAGGAAUCGCUAGUAAUCGCAGGUCAGCAUACUGCGGUGAAUACGUUCCCGGGCCUUGUACACACCGCCCGUCACACCAUGGAAGUUGGCCACGCCCGAAGUCGUUACUCCAACCCUUGUGGAGGAGGACGCCGAAGGUGGGGCUGAUGACUGGGGUGAA
rnacentral:rRNA from 1 species